AGUGGACGUAGGUGCUAAGGAGAGCACCGAACCACUAUAUAUUGGUGUGUUUGCAUUGUGUUUGUGCUUUCAUUUUUUCUUGCUUUAUCUUCUCUUCUUGCAUUAGAUUAACUCACUUAAAUAACCUAAGAGAGCAUCCAUCGCACUUAAUUAAGAAAGUUUUAAAAGUACCAAAAAUUUAGAAGAAACCAAUUCACCCCCCCCCCUCUUGGAUUGUCACCUUGGGCAAC
rnacentral:lncRNA from 1 species